ensembl:snRNA U6 U6 spliceosomal RNA
AUGGCUUCUGCAACACAUAUACUAAAAUUGGAACGACACAGAGAAUAUUAGCAUGACCCCUGCACAAGAAUGACACACGAAUUUGUGAAGUGUUCUAUAUUUUU